CCAGGCUUCGUUCGUUCGUCGUCCCCCCGCACGCCCCACCUCCCACCCUCCGCAUCGCGAGCUGAGCGGUUCCCAGAUCUCCUGCCUCCUCUCGAUCUCGUUGCUCCACCCUCCCACCGCCCACGGCGCUCCCUUCUCUCGAUCUCGCCUGCCUCCUCCUCCUCCUCCUCGAUCUCGCCGCUCCGCCCUCCCACCGCCGACACCGCUCCCCUCUCCCCUUACCCUACGCUGCCCUGUCUGCAUCCUGCCCAAGCCACGGCGACCCCGGCUGCGGCGGCUCCGAGGUGCAGGAGGUCGCGGCCUGCGCGCCGCUCCGCCAUCCUCACAGCCGCUCCGCUCGGGCAGGCGUUUCCUUCUCCGGUGCCGCCGCCGCUCCGCUCGGACUCUGCUCGUCCGCUCAAGCCGCCGAUCCAUCCCCGGAGUUUCCUUCCACGGCGUCGCCGCCGCUUGGAUCGGGCUCACACCUUCCCUGGCGUCGCCGAUCCGAGUGUUCCCCGCUGCCCUGCAUCGGCGGCCACUCCGCUCGGGCCGCCACACAACAACCGCGCCACGCCGCCGCCAAUCAGAGCUGCUAUUGUGCCCGCCGAGCAGAGCCGCCGCAGCCACACACGGUACCCCUUUGUUCCCCCGAUCCGAUCGCUCACCGAUGGCGGCCGGAUCCAACCCCAGCCGCACAUUCAUUCCUCCCUCCUCUCGCAAGUUCUCACCCCUACGUCCCGGAGCUGACUCAUCCCCGUCAUUACGAGGUAGCGCACGCAGAGGAUAGGGCUGGUCCUUAGUGCGGAGAGGAUGGGGGGCGGCCACCAUCCUGGCCCUCUAUCAUCGACAAAGCUCCUGUCCUUCCCCAGCGAGAUGGGAUCAUGGAGGCUCGAUCUGAAAGUUGUAGAGAUGCACGGGUCAUCGCCAAGCAGGAGAGUUAGUUGUUAGAUGCAUAGCCGCAAGCAGCUCCCACCCUCUACAAAAACAAAACACUAGGUAGUUGCUGGGGCUAAGAACGUGGCAGAGCGUUCAUGAAUCAAGAAGAGAGGAAAUGUUUUUGGAUGCUAAUACUGGUGGAGAUAGUUGGGUCUCUAUAAAUUACUGAGAAUUUUAAAAUGUAACUAUAUCUAUGACCUUAUUGAGUGCAGUUCUUUCUGAAGUGACUGCAACGAAUUCUUGCGUCUGGCCGAGCUGUAGGCUUUGUUGCUUCCCCGUGCUGAUCAUGCUCCUCCUAUCCAAUGUGUCUGCUGCUAUGCUUGCAUUGCGGAGGCCGGAGGGGGCUGUUAUUUAACUUAUUAUUAGGAUGUUCCUGCAAGCUCAUUUUAGUUAGGCAGGAUAUUGUUCUCUCUGAUCAUGUACGUGCUAAUCCAUAGAUUCUAUAAUUUUGUUCUUAGUCUCUGCACUUUCCUUUGAGUCUUUGAGUUAAUGAAUUUACAAGAGGCAAUUCUUCAGGGUCUGUUCUAUUUCCAUCACCAUGCUUAGUCAUGUUCCUUCUUAAAGAACUCAAUUUUCUUCUUGGCAGCUUUCUUUGUGAAAAAACUCAGAGGUGAUUACAAUAGAGCAAUAACCAUAUGUUGAUAGUUUAGUAAUUUAUUUGCAUGCCAAAGAUGCAGAUUAAAGUGUUGAUACAUGUGUUCUUCCAACUUCCUCUGUUUAGUCUGUCGUAAAUUUUGUCCAAGCCAUGCAUAGUUUAUUUAUACAAGACAACAAGAAUAGAAAAUUUACAUCUGUACCGUGGCUUGGGAUCAGAUUCAGCAGCCCUGCUUCACAAAUCCAUAAAAUCUUUAGUUUAUUUUAUUUUAUGAGCCUUUCAUGUUUCAUGUUCUAUUUCCAUCUGCCCACUUAGUUUUUGCACUUUUUCAUGCAAAAUAGGUUCCUAGGAUUCCUGUAGGCCAAUGCUCGCCACUCGUGUACAAUGAGGUACAGUGCGAGAUUUUCAAAAUUCCAGUGCCUGGAGAGCUUGUACUGUGAGUUGCUGACUAGAAAAUUAAGAGAUCUAAGCUAUAUAAUGUAGGGACCUGUGAUCAAAUAGGUAUAAAUAUGUUAAUUAGUUGGAUCUGUCUCUUAACUUAGGUUUUGCUUGUUAUUUUCAGUAGAUUAAGUUUAGCUAUGAGCCAAUAACUACUAAAUUAAAAACACCGAGCUCAAACUCAUGGUUUUUUGUGGGAAUUUAUUAAUUGCUAUCUUUAAGUAUGGUAAUUUUAAGUUGUGCUUUGUAUUAUGUAUUACCUACUCGAUCCAGGAACUAUUACCUUCCCUAUUAGUACUUAUAUAUGCCUAUUUAAUGUGCGUGUAUAUGUACAAAUAAAUUAUAUGGCUAAGCAGGAAUGCAAGAUUAUAGUAAUAUACCAAUAUUGCCUUUCAGUGUGCAAUCUGACAAUUUUUUUUUCUUGUCCAUGAUAGUAUGAAUAUUACUCUUGCAGAAAAAUUGGAGUUGGUGCUCUAAUCAUGCGGAAUUUGUUGUAGUUUUAGUAUGCGAGAAUUUGGAGCUAUCAUGCAGUGACUACUUCUGUAGCUUGCUUGCGACCAAGUCUGCAGCUGUGGGCUGUGUUGGUGUUUCAGGAUUCAAAAUAUGCAUACUAGAUGACCUGCAAUAGAUAAGUCAACUUUUUUCUACAUAUGCUAAAUGAAUGAAUGAUUUUAGAAAUUAGAAGUUUCCAUGAUGAGUCGUGAAAGUGCUGAUGCCUUGCCUUAGUUAACUUUGACCAUGCUUCCUCAAGACCAAAUGAUGUUUAUACUGAUUCAGAGGAUGAUUGACAAUUCUGUAGGUUUGCAGCAAUGAGAAACAGAGGCCGACCUCGCCAUGAUCCUCCAUGCACUGCCAUUGCAUCUCCGGCAUGAGUUGAGGGGGAGGGCGCUGCUGCCUUGGAGGCUAGACAAUCAGGAGAGUGCGGUGAUAACCAUGCAUAGAUGGGCACAUGCUGGGUACGGCGGGAGCCAAGGAGUUGAUGGUUUGAUGCCAUCCAAAGUGCCAUAAAACAAUACUAUACAAACCAUUGAUAAUUCCUGUGAUGUAUGUAUAUAAGACCGAUUUCCUGUUCCUUUUUCUUUUUUUUAUCUCUUUAAUUCAUCGUCAUAUAUAGACAUUUCAUUUGUUUUUAGUGGUUCUUCUAUGCGGUUAAAGUUGGUGCUUGUUUGACACUAUUAUCUAAAGAAUUUGAUGCUUGUUAUGACACUA